CAGCAGCCGCGGUAAUACGUAGGGUGCGAGCGUUAAUCGGAAUUACUGGGCGUAAAGCGUGCGCAGGCGGUUCGUCAAGUCUGAUGUGAAAGCCCCGGGCUCAACCUGGGAACUGCAUUGGAUACUAGCGAGCUUGAGUGUGGCAGAGGGGGGUGGAAUUCCACGUGUAGCAGUGAAAUGCGUAGAGAUGUGGAGGAACACCGAUGGCGAAGGCAGCCCCCUGGGCUGACACUGACGCUCAGGCACGAAAGCGUGGGGAGCAAACAGGAUUAGAUACCCUGGUAGUCCACGCCCUAAACGAUGUCAACUGGGUGUUGGGGAAGCGAUUUCUCAGUACCGUAGCUAACGCGUGAAGUUGACCGCCUGGGGAGUACGGCCGCAAGGUUAAAACUCAAAGGAAUUGACGG
rnacentral:rRNA from 1 species